GACGAACGCUGGCGGCGUGCCUAAUACAUGCAAGUCGAACGCUUCUUUCCUCCCGAGUGCUUGCACUCAAUUGGAAAGAGGAGUGGCGGACGGGUGAGUAACACGUGGGUAACCUACCCAUCAGAGGGGGAUAACACUUGGAAUCAGGUGCUAAUACCGCAUAACAGUUUAUGCCGCAUGGCAUAAGAGUGAAAGGCGCUUUCGGGUGUCGUUGAUGGAUGGACCCGCGGUGCAUUAGCUAGUUGGUGAGGUAACGGCUCACCAAGGCCACGAUGCAUAGCCGACCUGAGAGGGUGAUCGGCCACACUGGGACUGAGACACGGCCCAGACUCCUACGGGAGGCAGCAGUAGGGAAUCUUCGGCAAUGGACGAAAGUCUGACCGAGCAACGCCGCGUGAGUGAAGAAGGUGUUCGGAUCGUAAAACUCUGUUGUUAGAGAAGAACAAGGACGUUAGUAACUGAACGUCCCCUGACGGUAUCUAACCAGAAAGCCACGGCUAACUACGUG
rnacentral:rRNA from 1 species